rnacentral:lncRNA from 1 species
UAACUUUUUUCUAUGUAGGAUUUUUUGUUUGUUUGUUAUUUGUUUUUUUAGGGGGUAGGGUAGGGGAUGAAAGGGAUUGCAGGGAGAAGAAGAAGGAAGCUCUUGGUAUUCCAGGAGGAAGCCAGGGUCUUCAGCUUAAGGUGAUCUAGUCUCUGAGGUGGACUACCUCCCCAUUGCUCAGUGGCUCCUAGCAGCUACAGGCCCCUGGAGAGGCAGGCCUUGAGGGGACUACCUCCUGUCUUAAAGCCCUGAGCCAAGGAGGGGCCAGAAGCCAGCCUGCAGCUGAGGCCUCCGCAGUGGCAGAGUCCAG